CCAGUGCAUUCUAUUUUACAGAUGUGUUAUAACUCCGAUCUACAACUGAAUCGAUGUUUUCCCACGUAACUCUACAGGUCUACAUACAUGUGUUAUAACUCCGAUCUCCAACUGAAUCGAUGUUUCGCCACGUAACUGUACAGACCUACAUACACUCUUCCGGAAUUCUCAACAGAUGAGGUUCGUGGCUUGUAUACUUUCACCCCGGGAGGUAUCAAGACAGCUUGUGUGGCUAACAACAACGCGUAUCAUAGCAAUCCGAAA